UGGGGAAUAUUGGACAAUGGGCGGAAGCCUGAUCCAGCAACGCCGCGUGAGGGAUGACGGCCUUCGGGUUGUAAACCUCUUUCAGUACCGACGAAGCGAAAGUGACGGUAGGUACAGAAGAAGGACCGGCCAACUACGUGCCAGCAGCCGCGGUAAUACGUAGGGUCCGAGCGUUGUCCGGAAUUAUUGGGCGUAAAGGGCUCGUAGGCGGUUUGUCGCGUCGGGAGUGAAAACAGCGGGCUUAACUCGUUGCUUGCUUUCGAUACGGGCAGACUAGAGGUAUGCAGGGGAGAAUGGAAUUCCUGGUGUAGCGGUGAAAUGCGCAGAUAUCAGGAGGAACACCGGUGGCGAAGGCGGUUCUCUGGGCAUUACCUGACGCUGAGGAGCGAAAGUGUGGGGAGCGAACAGGAUUAGAUACCCUGGUAGUCCACACCGUAAACGUUGGGCGCUAGGUGUGGGUCC
rnacentral:rRNA from 1 species